GAACGCUGGCGGCGUGCCUAACACAUGCAAGUCGAGCGAAGCACUCUAAUUCGAUUCUUCGGAUGAAGAUUUUUGUGACUGAGCGGCGGACGGGUGAGUAACGCGUGGGCAACCUGCCUUACACAGGGGGAUAACAGUUAGAAAUGACUGCUAAUACCGCAUAAGACCACGGUACUGCAUGGUACAGUGGUAAAAACUCCGGUGGUGUAAGAUGGGCCCGCGUCUGAUUAGGUAGUUGGCGGGGUAACGGCCCACCAAGCCGACGAUCAGUAGCCGACCUGAGAGGGUGACCGGCCACAUUGGGACUGAGACACGGCCCAGACUCCUACGGGAGGCAGCAGUGGGGAAUAUUGCACAAUGGGGGAAACCCUGAUGCAGCGACGCCGCGUGAGCGAUGAAGUAUUUCGGUAUGUAAAGCUCUAUCAGCAGGGAAGAAAAUGACGGUACCUGACUAAGAAGCCCCGGCUAACUACGUGCCAGCAGCCGCGGUAAUACGUAGGGGGCAAGCGUUAUCCCGAUUUACUGGGUGUAAAGGGAGCGUAGACGGCUGUGCAAGCCAGAUGUGAAAGCCCGGGGCUCAACCCCGGGACUGCAUUUGGAACUGUGUAGCUGGAGUGUCGGAGAGGCAGGCGGAAUUCCUAGUGUAGCGGUGAAAUGCGUAGAUAUUAGGAGGAACACCAGUGGCGAAGGCGGCCUGCUGGACGAUGACUGACGUUGAGGCUCGAAAGCGUGGGGAGCAAACAGGAUUAGAUACCCUGGUAGUCCCCGCCGUAAACGAUGACUACUAGGUGUCGGGUGGCAAAGCCUUUCCGGUGCCGCAACCAACGCAAUAGUUAUCCACCCGGGGAGUACUUCCCAAGAAUGAAACUCAAAGGAAUUGACUGGGACCCACACAAGCGGAGGAGCAUGUGGUUUAAUUGGAAGCAACGCGAAGAACCUUACCUGAUCUUGUCAUCCCGGUGACCGGGAACUUAAUCGGUCCUUCUCUUCGGAGCACUGGAGACAGGUGGUGCAUGGUUGUCGUCAGCUCGUGUAGUGAGAUGUUGGGUUAAGUCCCGCAACGAGCGCAACCCUUAUCUUUAGUAGCCAGCACGUAAGGUGGGCACUCUAGAGAGACUGCCAAGGACAACCUGGAGGAAGGUGGGGAUGACGUCAAAUCGUCAUGCCCCUUAUGACCAGGGCUACACACGUGCUACAAUGGCGUAAACAAAGGGAAGCGAGCAUGUGAAUGUGAGCAAAUCCCAAAAAUAACAUCUCAGUUCGGAUUGUAGUAUGCAACUCGACUACAUGAAGCUGGAAUCGCUAGUAAUCGGGAAUCAGAAUGUCGCGGUGAAUACGUU
rnacentral:rRNA from 1 species